UAGAGUUUGAUCCUGGCUCAGGACGAACGCUAGCUACAGGCUUAACACAUGCAAGUCGAGGGGCAGCGGGAUUGAAGCUUGCUUCAAUUGCCGGCGACCGGCGCACGGGUGAGUAACGCGUAUCCAACCCUUCCGUACACUCAGGGAUAGCCUUUCGAAAGAAAGAUUUAAUACCUGAUGGUAUGAUGAGAUUGCAUGAAUAGCAUCAUUAAAGAUUUAUCGGUGUACGAUGGGGAUGCGUUCCAUUAGGUAGUAGGCGGGGCAACGGCCCACCUAGCCAACGAUGGGAUAGGGGUUCUGAGAGGAAGGUCCCCCACAUUGGAACUGAGACACGGUCCAAACUCCUACGGGAGGCAGCAGUGAGGAAUAUUGGUCAAUGGACGAGAGUCUGAACCAGCCAAGUAGCGUGAAGGAUGAAGGUCCUACGGAUUGUAAACUUCUUUUAUAAGGGAAUAAACCCUCCCACGUGUGGGAGCUUGUAUGUACCUUAUGAAUAAGCAUCGGCUAACUCCGUGCCAGCAGCCGCGGUAAUACGUAGGUGGCGAGCGUUAUCCGGAAUCAUUGGGCGUAAAGAGGGAGCAGGCGGCCGCAAGGGUCUGUGGUGAAAGACCGAAGCCAAACUUCGGUAAGCCAUGGAAACCGGGCGGCUAGAGUGCGGAAGAGGAUCGUGGAAUUCCAUGUGUAGCGGUGAAAUGCGUAGAUAUAAGGAGGAACACCAGUGGCGAAGGCGACGGUCUGGGCCGCAACUGACGCUCAUUCCCGAAAGCGUGGGGAGCAAAUAGGAUUAGAUACCCUAGUAGUCCACGCCGUAAACGAUGGUCACUAAGUGUCGGGGGUCAAACCCCGGUGCUGCAGUCAACGCAAUAAGUGACCCGCCUGAGUAGUACGUUCGCAAGAAUGAA
rnacentral:rRNA from 1 species